CUCCACUGCAAUUGUUAUGGUCUAUGUUGGACCAUGAUCAUUUAAAACUUUUCUGCUUGGCAGUUAUGUACUUCUGUGUGGUCAAACUUAAUUUAACUUCAUCAGGUGCAUAUUACUCUUCUUCGGUUUUUAAAUGAUGUGACCAUUUCUUGAUAUAAAAAAAAAAAAAUUAGUUAAGUCUAUUUUAUGAUGACAUCUCAAGUUGCAGGAAUCAUAUUAAUGUAACAUUCUUUUUUUAUAUCAAACUGAAACACGUAGAAAACAGUUGAACCCAAACAACUGUAUG